CUCCACCGCCGCCUGCAGCUUCCCGAUACAGAUCGCCGCCGCCUCCUCGACGUCGAGCGGCCACAGGCGAGCGCGCGCCGGGCCGCUCGGCGCCGCCGCUCUGCUCGUGCUGCUGGCUCUGGUCCAGCUCUUGAUGUCGCAGUAGAGAAUGAAACAGACUUGUUUUUCAUCAGUUGAUCAUUUGUUGCCUCGUAGCAUAUAUUUUUUUGGAUCAGCAGUAGUUACUAGCAGUAAUUCGGUACGAGUCUUGUACUGGAGGCAUAUAUACCUGAGGAUAUAUGUUCAGAUGGCAUUUCACAUGAUGUUCAAACACUUGAUGUGCUUGAUGACUAUGGUGUACAGUUCAUUCAGAAUCCCAGAUCCAACGUUCCAGUGAUAUUUCACAAAACAUU
rnacentral:lncRNA from 1 species